AUUGCAGAAAAUCCAGAAAAUGAAAAAUCUUCAGAUUUUUAUUCUUCAAGUUUAGAUAAUUUAAAGGAGAAGGCAAAAGGAGCAAAUCAUGAACUUUCUACUGUUUCAGAAAAUCCAGACAGUGAAAAAUCUUCAGAUUUUUGUUCUACAAGUCUAGAUCAUUCAAAGGAGAAAACAAAAGGAGAGAUACAUAAACUUUCUACUGUUUCAGAAAAUACAGACAAUGAAAAAUCUUCAGAUUUUUGUUCUACAAGUCCAGAUAAUUCAAAAGAGAAGACAAAAGGAGAAAUACAUGACGCUUCUGCUGUUUCAGAUGAUUCCAACAGUGCCAAAGCCUCAGGAAUUUCCGUUUUAAUAAAUUCCAUUGGUUUUGAAAAAAGAGCCUUUUCAAAGACUGAAAAUGUCAAUACUCAAGAUGCUAAAAGGUCUUUAGAAUCCAACAACUGCCGAGAGAGACCAGAGAGCAUAUCGAGUGAUGAAAUAACGCAGCUGUGAAACUUGAAAAAAUGUUAAAAGAAAUUAGUUUAACAGAACUAUGUCAGGGAAUAUAAAUAGAUGACAAGAAUGUCAGGAUAACCAAAAAUAAGCUUAGAAAUUGUAAACGCAUAAAUUGUAAAACUUGAGAACUUAUAUAUUAUCCAAACAAUCUGUACACUUUUGACAGCAUUGUAAGCAUUAUUUUGUUACAUAUA